CACCCUGGGGCCGGUGAUUUGGUGGGGUCUAGCCACCGGGGUUGUCCGGGGCCCCGGUGUGCUGGCUGCAGAGGGGGAGGGGGCUUUAGCGCCGCCGGUUGUCGGCCGCCACUGCCGACCGUAAGGGAGGGGGGUGCGCCCCCACACGCUAGGUGCUGGGGGCCAGGGGUCUGCACGCUCGGGGAUCCCCCCCUGAGGAGGAGGCGGUGGGGAGAGGCAGAGAACCACAAAUUCCGUCUGGAGUUUAUAACAAUGAGGCGGAAAUGGCGAGAGAAGCCGAAGGGUAGCGACUAGUUCCCAUCCGAGAAAAGGACCAUAGCAACGGCCCGCCCACUCUUCUUCACGUGACCUCUGAUGUCAUCCAUGUGAUUUUGGAGCAAUGAAGCGGUUCCGGAGCACUUUUAUUGAGUGGGGCUGAAAGUCUGUGGCUGCCGAUACAAGUGCAGCCGGACUCUGCCUGCCUUUUGCAGUGUUUGGGAUUGGCAUUUUCUUUUGGAUACCGGGAAAGUUUCUACGAGACCCUGGAGGGUCCGACUUCAUCUUUUCUGAGCGGCAAGGGUCUGGCUGCCAGGCUGCAGGAGCAGCAGCAAUUCGUGUGCUCUUGGCUGGCUGCAAAUACAAUUUGCAUUUUCUUUGGGAUACCGUGAACGUGAAAGACACCAGCUUUCGAUAGGGGAGCUGGAAAUUACAUCGACUUUAAAAUCAUGUUCAACAUGAAAGGUAUGGAGGGCUAAGAAAAGGAACAGAGAGGCCGUCAAUGGUGGUGUUUAACUGAUCAAAGGGGACUAAUGGAGUAAUUUAAUGUUUCAUGAGGGUGUGUUUAGGAUGGGUGGUUUUAGAGGGGGUCAGCUGGGGCUAUCUGUGUGUGAUUUGGGAUUGGCAUACAGACAUCUGUUGCAAGGGGGAAGGGGCAUCUUGCUAUGUGGAGGGAGGAUGGGGCAUUAUGGUAUUGGUCAGACUAGAGGGAGGGAUGGUGCAUCUUGGUGGUGUCUGAAUGGUUGGGUAGGGGCACGCUGGUGUGGGUCUGGAGGAAGGGGCACAUUGGUGUGGGGAGGGAGGGAUAGGGACAUAGUGGUGUGGGUCUGGGGGCAGUGGUGUGUUUGGGGGAGGGUUGUGGUACAUUGGUGUGGGUCUGGGGGAGUGAUGGAAGACAUGGGUGUGGGUCUGCAGGGUGGCAUGGGUCAUCUAGGUGUAGGGUGGGCAGGGCAUCUUGGUGUGGCUCUGGAGGGAGGGGAUAGGGCACAUUGGUGUGGGUUUAAUGGAAGGGAUGGUGCACAUUGGUGUGGGCCUGGUUGGAGGGAUGGGGUACAUGGGUGUGUUUCUGGAGGGAGAGAUUGGGCACAGUGGGUCUGGAGGUUAGCAUGGGUCAUCUUUGGUGUGGGUUUGAGAGGUAGGAUGGGCCAUCUUGGUGUGGCUAGGGAUGGGAGCACAUUGGUGUGCGUCUGGGGGAGGGAUUGUGGCACAUUGUAGGACUGGGGGAGGAAUAGCUCAUCUAGGUGUGGGUCUGGAGGGUGGGAUGGGGGCAUCUUGCUGUGUGGAUUGAGGGAUGGGGGCAUCAUGGUGGGGUUGGCCCGCAGUGGGUGUUUUGACGCAAUGUAAUUUCUGCCCAGUGCUCUGAAUGUCAAAUUGAAGAAAUUCAAUGAAGCGUGGGUAAAUGGCUGGGGUAACUAUGACUCUUAAAGUAGCCAAAUGCCUUGUCAUAUAAUUAGUGAUGUGCAUGAAUGGAUGAAUGACAUUCCCACUGUCCCUACCUACUAUCUAGCGAAGCCAUAGCCAAGGGAACGGGCUUGGCAGAAUUGUCGGGAAAGACAGCCGGGUUCAGUUUUACUCUAGUCUGGCACUGUGAAGAGGCAUGAGAGGAGUAGAAUAAGUGGGAGGCCCUUCAGCCGCCGGUGAAAUGACACUACUCCUUGUUUUUUUUCUACUUACCCAGUAAGGUGGGGCAAGCCCCAUGGGGCUCUCGCUUCUGGCUUCAAGCGCCUGGCACCUGCCGUGCACAACCCGCUCUGGAGACAGUGGCAGGUGGGGAGUUUGGGGUGGUACACCUGUCAAAGGAUAACGCAAGUCUCCUAAGGCGAGCUCAGGGAGGACAGAAACCUCCCACGGAGCAGAAGGGCAAAAGCUAGCUUGAUCUCAAUUUUUCAGUAUGAAUACAGACCGUGAAAGCGGGCCUCGCGAUCCUGUUGAAAUUUUGGGUUUCAAGCAAAUGGUGUCAGAAAAGUUACCACAGGGAUAACUGGCUUGUGGUGACCAAGCGUUCAUAGCAACGUCACCUUUUGAUCCUUCGAAGUCGACUCAUCCUAUAAUUGUGAAACAGAAUUCACAUAGAGUUGGAUUGUUCACCCACUAAUGGGGAACGUGAGGUGGAUUUAGACCGUCGUGAGGCAGGUUAGUUUUACCCUACUGGUGUGUUGUUGCAAUAGUAAUUCUGCUCAUUACACCGGAACCCGCAGGUUCAGACAUUUGGUGUGCAUGCUUGGCUCAGGAGCAAAUGGGGUGAAGCUACCAUCUGUGGGAUUAUAAAUGAACUCCUCCAAGUCAGAAUUCUCCCUGCCCCCUACACCGUGAUACCGCAGCGCUGUGGAGCAUCGGUUGGCCUAACAUAGCCGGCCUUAGGGCCGAUGUGUAGAGCCGCUCGCCUUAGGACUUGAGUGUGGACAGAAGGGGGUCACCUCUCUCGCCCAUAGUGCACAGCUUUUCGUGG
rnacentral:rRNA from 1 species